rnacentral:tRNA from 1 species
GGAGACGUCGCAUAGUCCGGCCGAGUGCACCACCCUGCUAAGGUGGAGUUCCCUUACGGGAACCAGGGGUUCAAAUCCCCUCGUCUCCGC